rnacentral:rRNA from 1 species
GACGAACGCUGGCGGCGUGCCUAACACAUGCAAGUCGAGCGAGUGGAUUUCCUUCGGGAAUGAAGCUAGCGGCGGACGGGUGAGUAACACGUGGGCAACCUGCCUCAUAGAGGGGAAUAGCCUCCCGAAAGGGAGAUUAAUACCGCAUAAGAUUGUAGCUUCGCAUGAAGUAGCAAUUAAAGGAGCAAUCCGCUAUGAGAUGGGCCCGCGGCGCAUUAGCUAGUUGGUGAGGUAACGGCUCACCAAGGCGACGAUGCGUAGCCGACCUGAGAGGGUGAUCGGCCACAUUGGGACUGAGACACGGCCCAGACUCCUACGGGAGGCAGCAGUGGGGAAUAGUGCACAAUGGGGGAAACCCUGAUGCAGCAACGCCGCGUGAGUGAUGACGGCCUUCGGGUUGUAAAGCUCUGUCUUCAGGGACGAUAAUGACGGUACCUGAGGAGGAAGUCACGGCUAACUACGUGCCAGCCGCCGCAGUAAAAC